rnacentral:lncRNA from 1 species
CAGUGAACCAACAUUUACUAAGUCUCUACUAUGUGCUAAGCCCAGUGCCAAGGACACCAGACCAACACAUCCCAUUCAGUUUCCAAGGAGCCCAUAACCAAACACUCAUAGUGUGACCAGAUGAAGUGAUUAAAUCUUUCCCCUGUUUUGCCCACUACCGACCACCUCGGGAGGGUCCUUCUCUACCAGUGCAGGUCUUUGGGUUUCCGUGAUGGAGAAUUUGAGAAUGGGCAGGUUUGAGAGGCCAUCCCCCUCAAAACACACACACACACACACACACACACACACGAGGCUAAAGGUCAGUGAUAAGAAAGAGGAGGAGGAAAAUCAUCUCAGAAAAAGGGGAACAGGGAGUUCUCUUCGUGGCUCAGCGGUUAAAGAACCUGACUAGGAUCCAUGAGGUUGCGGGUUCAAUCCCUGGCCUCACUCAGCGGGUUAAGGAUUCGGCAUUGCCUGAGCUGUGGUGUUAGUCACAGACAUGGCUUGGAUCUGGUGUGGCUGUGGCUGUGGCGUAGGCCGGCAGCUGUAGCUCUGAUUCAACCCCUAGCCUGGGAACUUCCAUAUGCCUCGGAUAUGCCCCUAAAAAGACAAAAGACAAAAAAUAAAUAAAUAAGAAUAAAAUAAAAGAAUAAACAGAAUAAGCAAGGAGGUAGGGAAAGAUAGAGACCUUAAAGAGAAAUCCUCUUUCAGCCCUUGUUUUCAUCAGCAUGAUUUUCCUUGGACUGACGUUUCUUUACCUGCCCAAGGGGUGAAAGGCUCAGGGAAAAGGGAGAAAGGAGUCCCCUCAAGCUUGCCUUUGAGCCAGGCAAAAAGGGGGCUCCAUGUGGUCCAGACUUUGGGAAAAAGAACUUUUGUAGGAUUUGAAGCAAAAGCCUGAUAGUAAUAGAGAGUGUGUAUUCACACAGUGCACACCUGUGCCUAUUACUUCUCCCUGAAAUCUGGUGCAAGGAUGAGUGGUCAGUGCAGUUAAGAAUAGAGGGUAGGGGAGUUCCCGCUGUGACUCAGUGGAUUAAGAACCUGACUCGUGGUGGUCCCGUUGUGGCUCAGCGGUAACGAACCUGAUCAGUAUCCAUGAGGAUGCACAUUUGUUACUGCAUGAGGAUCCCUGGCCUCAAACAGUGGGUUAAGGAUCUGGCCCUACUGCAAGCUGUGGUGUAGGUUGCAGAUGCAGCUCUGAUCCCACGUUGUCAUGGUUGUGGUGUAGGCUGGGAGCUGCAGCUCCGAUUUGACCCCUAGCCUGGGAACUUCCAUAUGCUGUGAGUUUGAUCCUAGAAAGAGGAAAGAAAGAGAGAAAGAAAAGAAAGAAAGAAAGAAAGAAAGAAAGAAAGAAAGAAAGAAAGAAAGAAAGAAAGAAAAAAGAAAGAAAGAAAGACAGACAGACAGAAAGAAAGAGAAAGAAAGAAAGACAGACAGACAAAGAAAGAGAAAGAAAGAAAGAAAGAAAGAAAGAAAGAAAGAAAGAAAGAAAGAAAAAGAAAAAGAAAGAAAGAAAAAGAAAGAAAGAAAGAAAGACAGACAGACAGACAGGUGAAGGAGCAGUCAUCUCCCAGGCUGGGCCCCUGCCCUCUCUGCAGCUCACAGCAGGGGCUGGAGCCCUUAGGCUCUGGAGCAGCCUCUCCAGUUGCCCAAGUGCCUGGUUGCCAGCUGUUUCCAUCCUGGAGCAUUGCCUCCAGGGCUCUGAUGCAACACCACAGCCCUGCCCUGGGGAGAAGGAAUCGGGCGCUUCACACAGGGUCGGGCUCUUUUUUUCAGGUAACUGUAGAGAUUUCAAGUCCUGGAUGGAGCAAGGAGAGAAAAGUCUCCUAGGCCCUAUCGAGGCUUGUCUUCUCUUGGACCCUUGACCCGCCCCUCACUGGCCUUGGCCUUCAAGUUUGGGUAUACACUGGGCUCAGCGCAGCAUAUGGAGGUUCCCAGGCUAGGGGUGGAAUCAGAGCUAUUGCUGCCGGCCUACACCACAGCCACAGCAACGCCAGAUCUGUGACCUACACUACAGCUCACGGCAAUGCUGGAUCCUUAAUUCACUGAGCAAGGACAAGGAUCAAACCCUCGUCCUCAUGGAUACUAGUCGGGUUCAUUAACCACUGAGCCAUGAUGGGAACUCCAAAAUGCACAUUCUUCAGGGCCCACCCUAGACUUAUCUGAACCAGAAACUGGGGUGGGUGGAUGGGACAGCAGUGUUUUAAUAAGUUCUCCAGGGUUCUCUUGUGGCCCAGAGUUCUCUUGUGGUGCUGUCACUGCAGUGGAUGGAUUCUUGCUGCGGUGCGGGUUCAGUCCCUGGCCUGGGAACCUCCACAAGCCGUGAGCGUGGGUAAAAAACCCCAAACCAGUUCUCUGAGUGAUUCAGGUGCAUUCUGAAGUUUGGGAACCACUUCCCAGAGGAUCAGGGAGGGUCAUGGAGGGCAGAUCCUGUCCUGUCCCUUCAUUUUAGUGAGAGGGAAACAGAGGCAUUGUACAGAGAGCAGGACCUGGCUCAGGUGGCACAGAUAAUCAAGUGGCAGAGGGGACACUGGAAGUUAGACUACCUGUUUCCAGAGACACCCCCUCUUGCCUCGCCCCGCUCUUUCCUUUGACUCAGGCCGAUCACCCAAGUCCCUCCUGAUUCACUGUCACUGUCUGGAGGGUCACCGUGAUGCCCGGACCAUCAGGGCCGCCCACUCCCUGUGCCAGGCACCAUGCUCACCCGCAUUGGCUUGAUGAACCCUCACAACAUCCAGGCGGGCUGGCUCAAGUAUAACCCCAUUUUGCGGACCAGAAAACUGAGCCUAGAGAAAGGUCAGGACACUUGGUCACAGAGCAAGAAAGGGCUGAGACGACUCACACCAGUUUCCUGCCUCCAGAGCCUAGGCUGUAGCCAGCAGGACCACACCCAGGCUUGCAGGAAGGGCUCUUCUCUAGCAUCUUCUGCUGAGACACCUGAAGGGACAAAAAGCUCCUUAAGCAGGUAAAACAGCUGGCAAACAGCCAAGGCCUCGAAGCUCCUGCGUUUACUCAGAGCAGAGCGCCUGUUGCUUGGUGUGCCCACAAUUGUGCCGACCUUGUAGGGCAGGAGCGGGGUGGAUUAGAAGCAGUCCACCAGGGAAUUCCUGUCAUGGCUCAGCGGAAAUGCAUCCGACUAGGAAUCAUGAAGUUGCUGGUUCGAUCCCUGACUUUGUUCAGUGGGUUAAGGAUCUGGCGUUGCCGUGAGCUGUGGUGUAGGUCACAGACAUGGCUCAAAUCUGGUAUUGCUGUGGCUGUGGUGUGGGUUGGCAGCUACAGCUCUGAUUAGACCCCCUAGUCUGGGAACCUCCAUUUGCCUCAAGUGCAGCUCUAAAAAUAAAAAAGAAAAAUUAUACAAGCGUCUUAGCAGUCUGGCAUAUUUUGGAGGACAUUUGCAAGUCUCAAUUAAAAUUUCAUAACUCAAUCUUCAUAAUGUAUAUUACGAUUAGAAACUAUAGUAUAAAAUAUUAAGAAAGAUUUCAGUCUUUUUGUCUUUUUUUUGGCAGGGGAGGCUGCACCCACAGCAUAUGGAGGUUCCCAGGCUAGGGGUCAAAUUGGACCUGUAGCUGCCGGCCUACACCACAGCCACAGCAACGGGGGAUCCAAGCUGCGUCUGUGACCUACACCACAGCUCACAGCAAUGCUGGAUCCUUAACUCACUGAGCAAGGAUCCGGCGUUGCCAUGGGCUGUGGUGUAGGUUGAAGAUGCAGCUUGGACCCCGUGUUGCUGUGGUGUAGGCCGUGGCUCUGAUUCGACCUCCAUAUGCCGCUGGAAGCGGCCCUAGAAAAGGUAAAAAGACAAAAAAAAAAACCAAAAAAAAAAAAACCCAAGAACUACCGUACGCUCCAGCAAUCCCAUUCCUAGUCAUAUAACUGGACAAAACUACAAUUCAAGAUACAUGAACCUGUAUGUUCAUAGCAGCACUAUUCACAGUAGCCCAGACAUGGAAACAACCUAAAUGUCCAGCAACAGAGGAGUGGAUUAAGAAGAUGCGGGGGAGUUCCCAUUGUGGCUCAGUGGUAACAAACCCACCUGGCAUCAACGAGGACACAGGUUCCAUCCUGGCCUUAACCCUCAGGGGGUUAAGGAUCCGUCAUUGCCAUGAGCUGCGAUGUAGGUCGCAGAUGAGGCUUGGAUCCCAUGUUGCUGUGACUGUGGUGCAGAACAGCAGCUACAGCUCUGAUUCGACCCCUAGCCUGGGAACUUCUACAUGCCGCAGGUGUGGCCCCGAAAAGCAAAAACAGAAACAAAAACAAGAUGUGGUACAUAUACACAGUGGAAUACUACUCACCCAUAAAAAGAAUGAAAUAAUGCCAUUUGGAGUAACAUGGAUGGAACUAGAGACUCUUAUACUAAGUGAAGUAAGUCAGAAAGACAAACCAUAUGAUAUUACUUAUACCUGGAAUCUAAAAUAUGGCACAAGUGAACCUUUCUUUAGAAUAGGAACAGACUCACGGACCUGGGGAACAGACUUGUGGUUGCCAAAGGGGAAGGGGGCAGGGAGUGGGAUGGACUGGGAGUCUGGGGUUGGUAGAUACACAGAAUUACAUUUAGAAGGGAUAAGCAAGGAGGUCCUGCUCCACAGCACAGGGAACUAUAUCCAGUCUCUUGGGACAGAAUAAGACAGGGAAUGAUAUGAGAAAAAGAAUGUAGGAGUUCCCAUUAUGGCUUAGGGGGUUAUGAACUCAACUAGUAUCUAUGAGGAUGUGAUAAGGAUCCGGCAUUGCUGUGGCUGUGGCGCAGGCCAACAGCUGUGGCUCCAAUUCCACCCUAGCCUGGGAACUUCCAUGUGCUGCAGGUGCUGCCCUAAAAAGCCAAAAAAAAAAAAAAAAAAAAAAACCCAAAAUGAUC